CCUACGGGUGGCAGCAGUGGGGAAUAUUGCACAAUGGGGGAAACCCUGAUGCAGCGACGCCGCGUGAGUGAAGACGUAAUUCGUAAUGUAAAGCUCUAUCAGCACGGAAGAAAAUGCCGGUACCUGAGUAAGCAGCCCCGACUAACGACGUGCCAGCCGCCGCGGUAAGACGUAGGGGGCCAGCGUUAUCCGGAUUUACUGGGUGUAAAGGGGGCGUAGACGGCAGGGCAAGUCUGGAGUGAAAGGCGGGGGCUCAACCACCGGACUGCUCUUGAAACUGUACGGCUGGAGUGCAGGUGAGGUAAGGGGAAUUCCUGGUGUAGCGGUGAAAUGCGUAGAUAUUAGGAGGAACACCAGUGGCGAAGGCGGCUUACUGGACUGUAACUGACGUUGAGGCUCGAAAGCGUGGGGAGCAAACAGGAUUAGAUACCCCAGUAGUC
rnacentral:rRNA from 1 species